AUAACCCUACGGGACGCAGCAGUAGGGAAUCUUCCACAAUGGGCGAAAGCCUGAUGGAGCAACGCCGCGUGGGUGAAGAAGGUCUUCGGAUCGUAAAACCCUGUUGUUAGAGAAGAAAGUGCGUGAGAGUAACUGUUCACGUUUCGACGGUAUCUAACCAGAAAGCCACGGCUAACUACGUGCCAGCAGCCGCGGUAAUACGUAGGGAGCAAGCGUUAUCCGGAUUUAUUGGGUGUAAAGGGUGCGUAGACGGGCAUGUAAGUUAGUUUUGAAAUCCCUCGGCUCAACUGAGGAAUUGGAACUAA
rnacentral:rRNA from 1 species